AGCAGAAACGCUGUUUGUCACAUUGUAAAAGCAAAAGAGCUGCGUCUUGUACAGCAGUUUCCUGUAGAGAUCAGUUCUGUCGUGACAAAGACAUCAGAAGCUGGAUGAUGGGUGUUGUUAAUGUUGUGCUACUGGUGCUGCUGGUUUGGACAUUCACAUCUGUCUGUGGGGAAAUGACUGAUUUCACAAUUAACUGUGAAGAUGUGACUGCACAUGUGGGAGAUAAAAUAACUCUCACCUGCAGAGUCACUUAUCUGAAAAAAGGAUGCUGCAUGAUCUGGUACAAGUUUAUUAAUACAGCAUAUGAUGAACCAACAAUCUGUAAAGAGGAGUUCAGAAGUCAUUCAUGUAAACAAGAGAGAUUUUCAUGUCCCUACACUGCAAAUAAAACCAUGACAACACAAUUUAAAUUAUUUUCUCAAACCACAUGUGGAUUACAAACAACAUAUUUCACUGCAAAUGUAACAGAAGCUGUUAAAGGUGACACAGGCCAGGUUUUUUCCUUUUGUAUGAACAUUGCUGGAUUUCACUAAUUGAUGGCGAGCCUCCCACUUCGACCCUGAUCACGAAUCUAGAGGAAGGACAAUUUUCUAUUUUAAAUAUUUUUCAUCAGAAAAGUUUUAUUAAGUGAACAUUUUGACGACAGAAUUUUGUGAUCUACACAAUCAAAAGCUUUAGAGAGAUCAACAAACAAAGCCGGACAGUGAUUUUUAUUCUACAAAGAUAAUAUAAUUUGUGACGAGUGUUGCCGCUGAUUAAAACCUGAUUGAAACUCAUUUAAAAUAUAAUUUAUAUUUCUUUCAACAAGAUAAAUCAGUGAUUCCCGUCAUUAUUUGUGUCUUGAGUUGUUUCAUCAUUGUGAUUGUCAUGGCAUUGAUUAAGAUGGAUUAUAAUAUGGCUGCAUUUGAAAAUAACAUCAGAUAGAGAAGCAAUGUAACAACAGCAUAACAUCAAUCUAAUAUUCAUAUUUUUAAUAUUUAUAAUAUUCAUUAUGUCUUUAAUGUAAGAGUCCUCAUCAGAUCUGCUGGUCACCAAUUAGAAUCCAUAUAGAUAAACUCUUUUGUGUAUCAGAUCAAUCUACUGACUUGUGAAUAAUAAACAACAAUACUGAAUUAUUAUAAGACUGUGAUUAUAUGGUUUAAAAGGACUAAAGCUUGGUUUUUUGUUUCAUAUAUAUGUGAAAAAGGAUUGUAGUACUGUACAAAGUGUAUUGUGUAUAUAUACAGCUUAAAUGUAAAAUGACUUAUAGUUUUCUCUGCAUAAUGAUGUUAAAGGAAAUCAAUUUAAAAUCAUUGCUUGGCCUGUAUAAAUUUGAUAUUAAAAUGCACAGACCAAACUUUGUUUGCUUGUCACAUAUCCGAUGCUUAAUUAUCUGCAUUUGGUGUUUUUUUUUGCAUGUUCAAACUAAUUUUUAUGUACCAUCAUGCUUGUCAUUAUUAUAUUGCCUAACAGU